GGCUCCGAGGGCGGCGCCCGGCCAACUGCGUCCGCGGGUUACCACGCACGCAGCCUCGUGCCUUAACGCGCGCACACCCGCUGCUGGCCCGUUGCUGAGUUUUCGUUUCGGGGGAGCGAUAUCCGACCGUGCUGACUUGGCUUUCCUCUUGGUCCAUCCUCGUGCGUCGCUGGAGUCCAAGUGCACGGGGACGAUUGCUCUUAGAACCUAAUCACCUGCUGUGGGGGAAGCCAUGCAAGCUAUGGAAAGACCCACAUGGAAAGGAACUGAAGCCAUUAGCCCUCAGCACCAUCUACCAGACUCCACAUGCAACCAGCACCAGUUCGCCAGCCAUAUGUGUUGGCCAAAAGAGACAUCUUCUUGGAUUUGGACGGAAGAAAUGAAGCAGCAGCUAUGGCACAUGCUGAAGGACAGUGUAAAGAACCAGGUGCUGUUUCAGCUCAUGCCCCUUGUUGAUCUGCUUGUCACCUUGCUUGGUUGCGGGCAGCAGCAGUGCCUGCAGCUCCUUCAGCUCCUACUGGUUGUCCUGCAGUUAGUGGGUGGGUCCAUUGUGAAGGGUGUCUUUGCAUCAUCUAUCUGUGUGUCCUUUGUCAUGUUGAAGUCAGAGGUGGUGAGAGAUAUGUAGGUAGAGAUUGUCUUUUGGAAAUCCAGUUUAUUCCCAGGAUUCCAGUUUGUCCAGCUGACCACCAGACCACACAACUUUCCUUCCCAACUGCCAGUUCUGCCCAUCUCAAUGACUUCAAGUUUAUGAAGCAGUAACAACAGAGCUGCAUAGACUUCUUCCCAGACCCAAGAGUCACAUAAGACCUAAUACCUAUAACAAAAUCCCUUAUCACAGAUCUCUCAUAUGGAUUCUGCCUUUCUGAUGAGAUGCGUACUUGCCUGGAUGUAUUUUGUAGGAAAAAAUCCAAAGGAGUAUGGAGGACUGGGUAUAGAUAGUGAGGAAAGGGAAGAGUCAAAGUAACUAAAUCAUAAAUAAAGAUGAUGAUUUUAGUCA